UACGUAGGGCGCAAGCGUUGUCCGGAAUUAUUGGGCGUAAAGAGCUCGUAGGCGGCCUGUUGCGUCCGCUGUGAAAUCCCGGGGCUCAACCCCGGGCCUGCAGUGGAUACGGGCUGGCUAGAGGCAGGCAGGGGAGAACGGAAUUCCUGGUGUAGCGGUGAAAUGCGCAGAUAUCAGGAGGAACACCGGUGGCGAAGGCGGUCCUCUGGGCCUGUACUGACGCUGAGGAGCGAAAGCGUGGGGAGCAAACAGG
rnacentral:rRNA from 1 species